GUUUACCCCAGAGGGGUGCCACCUAAGAACACAGGUCAUCCCUUAACCAAUAGCUUGUGUUCUCAGGUCACCCCUUUGGGGUACAU
rnacentral:pre_miRNA from 1 species